CUUUUCCAAGUGAAGCUUCCUGUGAUUUUUACUGUAGCUCCCCCACCGUCUUCAGUCUGUUUUACUGAAGACGAGUUGGACAGAAGAGACUCCAAACCAGGGGGGAGAGACCUGCUAAAGUCCGGAUAAGUCCACAGGAUUCAAAAAGACAAGUGUUCAUUCUGUUUCCAUCUGUUAGUUUUAAACGUUAUCAGUUGGUGAAAAAAAAACCCUCUGUUGUAGGAAAAUGUAAACGGUAGAUACAUGCUGUUUGGAUUUCACAAAACUAGACAAGUCCACCAGAUAGUACAGCUUUUCUUAUCCUUUGUUUUAGUCUUUUCAUAACAUACAGUCUCAGUGUUUCUGUUUCUUAACACUUUGUCGCUGACGGAAAAAAAAAAAAAAAACAGUUUUGCUUUGAAACGGCGCUGGCCUUUAAAACUGUUGUAAAGUCCUCUUUAAUAGCCUCACGCCGCUGCCUGUUUCUGGGCUGAAAUAAAUGUAUGGAGCUAAUUUUACAGAGAGAAGAGUCCUCACUCUCUCACAGCAGCGAAAGAUUAAAAAAAAAAGGGAAAUGAUGGAGAUGAAACAGGCUUUUCUUCUACAUUAGAGUCUGAUUUCCAUUCCCUUUCAUCCUCCUAUUACACUACACCACUCAUCUCUAGAGCGAGCUAAAAUAAGGGAGGGAGGGUUAUCUUUUUUCUUCUUCCAGAGAAGUGUUUGGAGCUGCCGGUGCCUUUCAUGUUCGCCUUAACCUGUGCUUUUGAGAAGGAUGACGAAAGAUGAGAGUCCGAUUUUUACAAACAAUAUCGAAGGGUCAUCCGAGUUCCAACAGCAGCACUUUUAGUUUGUUUCCUAAUUGCCUGAAAAGAGUCGAUGUCAUGAGAAGUUUUUUAUUUAUUUAUUUAUUUAUUUUUGUUAAGCCUCUGGUCUUCAAGGGAAAAGUCGAACCUUAAUGUUAAAGUGGGAGCUUUGUCUCUGCUUCCUAAUUUGCGUGACCCAGUUUCGGUCAAUUUUUGUAAAAGUAAGAAAAUGAACAGAAGCCGCUGUUCGAGGGCAGAUGGUAGACGCUCUUCCUUUUAGUGAGCCGUUUCUAGUAAAAAACAUUUUGGAGAAAUUGAAUGCUGUUUCCUGAUGUGACUGUUUUUCAAAGGUUCUUUGUUUUGUGUUAACUUCAGCUGUUGUGACGGAAAAAAGUACAAAAAAAAAAAAAGAUUUUCAGGCACAUUUUUAAUCCCAAGAUACAGUAAGAAAGACUCAAAGGAGUUGCCAUGUAAGGAUACUUUAUUCAUUAAGGGAGAAAAAAUGUGA